rnacentral:rRNA from 1 species
AGAGUUUGAUCCUGGCUCAGGAUGAACGCUGGCGGCGUGCUUAACACAUGCAAGUCGAGCGAAGCAGUUAAGAAGAUUCUUCGGAUGAUUCUUAACUGACUGAGCGGCGGACGGGUGAGUAACGCGUGGGUGACCUGCCCCAUACCGGGGGAUAACAGCUGGAAACGGCUGCUAAUACCGCAUAAGCGCACAGAGCUGCAUGGCUCGGUGUGAAAAACUCCGGUGGUAUGGGAUGGGCCCGCGUCUGAUUAGGCAGUUGGCGGGGUAACGGCCCACCAAACCGACGAUCAGUAGCCGGCCUGAGAGGGCGACCGGCCACAUUGGGACUGAGACACGGCCCAAACUCCUACGGGAGGCAGCAGUGGGGAAUAUUGCACAAUGGGGGAAACCCUGAUGCAGCGACGCCGCGUGAGCGAAGAAGUAUUUCGGUAUGUAAAGCUCUAUCAGCAGGGAAGAUAAUGACGGUACCUGACUAAGAAGCCCCGGCUAACUACGUGCCAGCAGCCGCGGUAAUACGUAGGGGGCAAGCGUUAUCCGGAUUUACUGGGUGUAAAGGGAGCGUAGACGGCAAGGCAAGUCUGAUGUGAAAACCCAGGGCUUAACCCUGGGACUGCAUUGGAAACUGUCUGGCUCGAGUGCCGGAGAGGUAAGCGGAAUUCCUAGUGUAGCGGUGAAAUGCGUAGAUAUCGGGAGGAACACCAGUGGCGAAGGCGGCCUACUGGGCACCAACUGACGCUGAGGCUCGAAAGUGUGGGUAGCAAACAGGAUUAGAUACCCUGGUAGUCCACACUGUAAACGAUGAUUACUAGGUGUUGGAGGAUUGACCCCUUCAGUGCCGCAGUUAACACAAUAAGUAAUCCACCUGGGGAGUACGACCGCAAGGUUGAAACUCAAAGGAAUUGACGGGGGCCCGCACAAGCAGUGGAGUAUGUGGUUUAAUUCGACGCAACGCGAAGAACCUUACCAAGUCUUGACAUCCCUUGACGAUGCUGGAAACAGUAUUUCUCUUCGGAGCAAGGAGACAGGUGGUGCAUGGUUGUCGUCAGCUCGUGUCGUGAGAUGUUGGGUUAAGUCCCGCAACGAGCGCAACCCUUAUGGUCAGUUACUACGCAAGAGGACUCUGGCCAGACUGCCGUUGACAAAACGGAGGAAGGUGGGGAUGACGUCAAAUCAUCAUGCCCUUUACGACUUGGGCUACACACGUACUACAGUGGCGUUAAACAAAGAGAAGCAAGACCGCGAGGUGGAGCAAAACUCAGAAACAACGUCCCAGUUCGGACUGCAGGCUGCAACUCGCCUGCACGAGGUCGGAAUUGCUAGUAAUCGCAGAUCAGCAUGCUGCGGUGAAUACGUUCCCGGGCCUUGUACACACCGCCCGUCACACCAUGAGAGCCGGGGGGACCCGAAGUCGGUAGUCUAACCGCAAGGAGGACGCCGCCGAAGGUAAAACUGGUGAUUGGGGUGAAGUCGUAACAAGGUA